UACGGAGGGGGCUAGCGUUGUUCGGAAUUACUGGGCGUAAAGCGCACGUAGGCGGCUUUGUAAGUUAGAGGUGAAAGCCUGGAGCUCAACUCCAGAACUGCCUUUAAGACUGCAUCGCUUGAAUCCAGGAGAGGUGAGUGGAAUUCCGAGUGUAGAGGUGAAAUUCGUAGAUAUUCGGAAGAACACCAGUGGCGAAGGCGGCUCACUGGUCCGGUACUGACGCUGAGGUGCGAAAGCGUGGGGAGCAAACAGG
rnacentral:rRNA from 1 species